rnacentral:rRNA from 1 species
GUAGUCUGCAACCCGACUACAUGAAGCUGGAAUCGCUAGUAAUCGCGAAUCAGAAUGUCGCGGUGAAUACGUUCCCGGGUCUUGUACACACCGCCCGUCACACCAUGGGAGUCGGAAAUGCCCGAAGUCAGUGACCCAACCGCAAGGAGGGAGCUGCCGAAGGUGGAGCCGGUAACUGGGGUGAAGUCGUAACAAGGUAGC